rnacentral:lncRNA from 1 species
GGAAGAUCUCCAGAACUAUACACCACCUCACCAGCCAGGGAACGGUGGACGUCCACGUACACAUGGAAGAAGGCGUCAGUAGCAGAAUAAACCAGGUUCUACCUUUCUUUCCUAUCUUAUGUCAUUGCAUUGGGGACAAUGCAAGAUUUAAGUAUGGGGGAGGAAGCUUUACCGCUUUUUAUUUACCGCUUUCUAGUUAGAUUUAUAUUAUUUCUAUUUCUUUUUGUU